UCAUAUGAUUUCCCGUGGAUUUUAACGGCUAGAUCCGGCAUGCUGCCGAGGUACAUUCACCCUACAGUGGUGGGACAAGAUGGUGUGUUCUGCCCUUGUAGAUGUCCUUGGAGAAGAUGGCCAUUGGAGUGUAGGGGAGGAACAACCUUGUCUUGCUCGAGGAGGAGGACCACCCGAUCUCGACGACGGCACGGCAACAGCCUUGUCUCCCCCACCACCGCCCCUCGACCUCCUCUCAUGCUGCUGUGGAGUCUUAGAAUGGGAAUGUUAUGUACAUAAAAAAUAUUCUAUGGUCUGUGUUUGCAAAUCCAUGGUUGUUGAAUCAUGUCUGUAUAAGCAUUUGUAAAUAGCUAGCCUUUUUGGCUAA